AGGACGAACGCUGGCGGCGUGCUUAACACAUGCAAGUCGAGCGGAAAGGCCCUUCGGGGUACUCGAGCGGCGAACGGGUGAGUAACACGUGAGCAACCUGCCCUUAGCUCCGGGAUAGCUCCGGGAAACCGGAAUUAAUACCGGAUACGACCACGGCCGACAUCUGCUGUGGUGGAAAGGAUUCCGGCUAAGGAUGGGCUCGCGGCCUAUCAGCUAGUUGGUGGGGUAAUGGCCCACCAAGGCGACGACGGGUAGCCGGCCUGAGAGGGCGACCGGCCACACUGGGACUGAGACACGGCCCAGACUCCUACGGGAGGCAGCAGUGGGGAAUAUUGCGCAAUGGGCGAAAGCCUGACGCAGCGACGCCGCGUGGGGGAUGAAGGCCGUUCGGGUUGUAAACCCCUUUCAGCAGGGACGAAGCGAAAGUGACGGUACCUGCAGAAGAAGCGCCGGCUAACUACGCGCCAGCAGCCGC
rnacentral:rRNA from 1 species